UACGAAGGUGGCUAGCGUUGCUCGGAAUUACUGGGCGUAAAGCGCACGUAGGCGGCUUUCUAAGUCGGGGGUGAAAUCCUGGAGCUCAACUCCAGAACUGCCUUCGAUACUGGAGAGCUCGAGUCCGGGAGAGGUGAGUGGAACUGCGAGUGUAGAGGUGAAAUUCGUAGAUAUUCGCAAGAACACCAGUGGCGAAGGCGGCUCACUGGCCCGGUACUGACGCUGAGGUGCGAAAGCGUGGGGAGCAAACAGG
rnacentral:rRNA from 1 species